GAGUUAUUGUGCUUCCAUUGCUGUUGUUCCCAUUCUCCUGAAGGAAAAACUUGAAAAUCUCAUCACUGAAAAGGAAGAUUCACCGAUGAGUCUUUACAUACAUCAAGAUAAUGAUGUAUACACCGUCAUGUUGGAGGGAGAGAGGAUAUUUUCAAGUUCCCAUUUAUUAUCCUCUUUUGAAAUUUAUUUGGCAUGCUAUUAUGUUUU